GCCAUCUUAAGUUUCACUUUGCGUCGGUGUGUCGCUAAAAUAUACGCGUCGGCGAAGUGAAGCAUAAAAUAAGUUUUGUACAUUUAAUACUGUUUAAGUAAAACGUUUUAAACAUAAUAUAAAGAAGAAAAGUUUUUUUUUAAUCGAGAAUUAGUACCUAUGCAAAUGCAAGCCAUGAAUCAUUACGGCAACAGAGGAUUCGGAGGGCCACCUCAACCGCAGAGACAGGGUGGACGACGUGGAAAUAAUAGAGGCGGCUUUAGGAACAACUCGAGAUUUGAACAUAAUCAAAGAAAUCACAAUCAGCAAGGAGGUCAGCGUCCGAAUAACGAGCCACCUAAACCUGUACAACAAGAUAAGCCACAACAGCCCUCACCUGCGCAAACUCCAAAAGAAAAGGAGGUGGCACCACAAGUGAACCAACAAGUACCGCCACCACAACAAAAGCAACAACCACCACCACAGCAACAACCGCAGCAACAGAAUAAGCCUCAGCCCCAGCCACCGCAACAACAGCAACAACCACCUAAACCAGUGGCAACUAACACAUUGAACCAAGAUUCUAAAGAUAAUGUUGAUAAGAGUAUCACUAAUGAGCCCAAGAAUCAAAGCAAUCAACCACCAUUCCAAAAGAAUAUCAAUGGAAACUUCGGUGGCCCAAAUAAGCAAGGUGGUACCUGGGCCCAAGGCAAUCCAGCAAACAAAAUGGGUGGUAAUUUUAAUAGAGGUCCAAGAGACUUUGGGCCAAAGGGACCAGGAGGACCAGGUGGCCCUGGAAUGGGAGGGCCAGGUCACCAAGGUGGGCCGGGGCCUAUGCGUAACAAUAACCAGCAGAGAAAUAACAGCCGCGCUGGUCAAUAUGAUGGAGGCAAACCAGUGCAAAGAGAGUUUAACCAGGAACACAUGUUAGCCAACAAAUUAAAAGAUCUUAUGGGACCAUUGACUGAUUUGCCAUCAAUUGAACAACCUGAGGUCAAAUUUAAUGGAAGAAGUAGAUUGUACAUUGGUAAUCUAAGCAAUGAUAUAACAGAAGAAGAGGUUCUUAACAUGUUCGGACAGUUUGGAGAAACGGCUGAAUUAUUUAUUAACAAGGAUAAAAACUUUGGAUUUAUCAAAAUGGACUACAGAGUUAAUGCAGAGAAGGCAAAGAGAGAAUUGGAUGGUAAAAUGAAGAAUGGCAGAGCAAUGCGGGUUCGAUUUGCGCCACACAACAGUGCAGUGCGCGUGAAGAAUUUACCGCCAUUUGUUUCAAAUGAACUUUUGUAUAAGGCAUUUGAAAUUUUCGGCAAAAUUGAAAGAGCCUUUGUAAGAGUAGAUGAAAGAGGAAAGACAUUAGGAGAAGGCAUUGUAGAGUACGCACGUAAACCCAGUGCGUUGGCGGCAAUAAGAAAUUGCUCUGAGAAGUGCUUCUUCCUCACGUCGUCACUACGCCCAGUUAUUGUAGAAAAUUUAGAAGAGCCAGAUGAAUUUGAUGGUUACCCAGAGAAGAAUAUUCCUAAGAAGCACCCAGAAUUCUUAAAAGCGCGUGAGAUGGGCCCCCGGUUUUCUGAAGCAGGCAGUUUUGAACACGAGUAUGGAACAAGAUGGAAACAGUUACAUGAGCUUCACAAACAAAAAGAGGAGGCUCUUAAGAAAGAAUUGGCUGCAGAAGAGGAGAAACUCGAAGCACAAAUGGAAUAUGCAAAGUACGAGCACGAGACGGAGCUGCUGCGCGAGCAGCUGCGCGCGCGCGAGCAGGACCGCGAGCGGCAGAAGCGCAGCUGGGAGAUGGCGGAGCGCGCGGCGGACGAGCGGCGCGAGGCGGAGCGCGCGCAGCUGCUGCGCCACGAGGAGGAGCUCGCGCAGCGCAUGCGCCACCAGGACGACGAGCUGCGCCGCCGCCAGCAGGAGAACACGCUCUUCGUGCAGGCACAAAGGCUAAAUUCAAUGCUCGAUCGUCAAGAACAAGGCAUGUUUGAUCAUCAGCAACCAAUGGUAUCAGUGUUUAGCUAGAGACUUUUUUGGAUUUCUAAGUGGCUCUCAAAGACAACGGUCGCACACCUCAUAGUUCAACCUAUCCACAUUGUAUACGGAGCGGUUGAAAAAUUAUUAGGCGUGAAAAGGGAAGAAAUUUAUAUGUAAAACUCUUGAGCUUGAAGAAUAUUAUUAUUUAAGAUGUUCUUAGCUCCGGAAUCAUUAGUCCUCAAAAUAUACUAAAGAGAUUUAUUUGUAAUCUAUAACUUUUGAUAAAUAUUAAAUAUCAAUGAAUAUCGAAUUGGAAACUUCUAAACGUAUGAAGCAACGGAUAUAAAAUAAUCAAUUUAAUAUUUUAAAAUAUCUUAUAGUUCAAUGAAAUAAAAUAUCUUAUUGUAAUGAAUAGUGUGCGUAACAUAAUUUACCAAGUUAGGAUUUUAACAAUAUUUGUACCGUCGAUGUAAAAUUAACUAAUUAUGACAGAACAUUAAUGCUUGUGAGUCAUGAUAUUACACAAAUUUAUAGUAAUUUUUAUAUUCUCUAAGCACAUAAUAUGUAACACUUGUAACAAAUUUGCUGUAGCAUAACUUGUCCAUUAGAUUUAUAAAUUUUCAUACAGCUUUAGUUUUGUCUUCGUCGUAUUUAUAGUUAUAUAACAAUUAUUUUAUCAUAUCAGUUGUCCUCUGUUUGCUUUAUUAAGAAAUCUUAUAAUAGACUAAGAUCCCACUGCAGGAUUGGUGCGUUCACAGUUUUUUUUGCUAAAACCAAACUUUUAAUUUAUAAUAAGGAGAAUAUAAUAUGCGUUAAUCAACUUUUAAGUGUACAUCAAUGAUACAUUUUAAUUUUAUUUGCAAAUUGGUAUAUUUUAGCAUAUUUCUUGUAGAUAAAUAUUUAUAUUUUAAGAAUUCACAUAGAGCAGAAUGAUUUAAUGUAAUAGUAAAUUUGACUCUGAAAUCCACAUGACUAGUUAAGAUAGUCUCUUGGACAACUAAGCAUAAAAGACAUCAGAACCAUUUAAAAUUCAGUGAAAUUGAAACCGUCACAAUAUUCUCAAUAAAUAUAGGAUGGAUUUCAAUUUAGAAUCCAUAAAUAAAUGACGCCACUUUUAAUUUAUUAGUUAUUCCCCAUAAUAUUGUCUCCUGGACAACGACAAACUUAAAACUUUUCAUUUAACUUGUAAAAUAAUAAUGAAUACAGGAUAUUUAACAGUUUAUAAAUUCACUUUUAAUUAUUAAAUAAUUUUGUAAACCUUACUGUUUUUUUAGUAAGUAAUUAAGUCGAUAAUUUGUCUUUAGCAGACAGGGACAAAAUGGUUGUCCAGUGGACAUAUCCGGCUGUCCGUAGGACAUACUCGGGAGACCAAAGGAGAUACUAGUUCUUUUAUUGUAAAAAAAAAAAACUGACAAUAAUUAUCAGUUUUAUUAUAUUUUUUUACGAAAGAAUCAACAUUACAAUAAGCUAUUCAAUAAUGAAUAGAUUUACGAACGUGUCAACUCUUACAAAUUAACUUAAAACUUAACUUGUACUUUGCUGUCUCGAUAAAUGACUAAUACCUCUGUGUAUCACAUUUUUUCAGAGAUUCAGUGAGAUAUGCAAAACUUAAUAAAUAAUCUUCAAAACAAAAUUUCUUAAUCAUAGCAGAUAUCCAUAGGUCUGGUCUAUAUGAGCUAUUUUCUAAAAACAUUAAUAUCACAUGAAAACUUUUAAUAUUCUGUGCCUCUGUUGUGUUCAAUGUCCGGGGUUGGAAGUUUUUUAAUUAUAUCAGUGAAUUCUACAUAGGGUUUAUCUUUCUCAUUUAAUACAAAUUGUUUUCCAUUUUUUACACAUUUUAGGAAUUUAACUCGAUUUCACCGUCUUCAUCGAUAUCGGUUUCGGCAAUGCACCGAUAUGGAUCGUAUGAUUUACCUUUGGUGCUGUAAACUUUGACUAAAACUGAGAAAUUAGUUUGCUUGUAAUGGAUUAUUUAUUACCUAGUAUCGUAAUUGCACAAAUCAGUCUUUGCCGCUUUCAUUUUCCUGGUUAUUUGUAGUUUUAAGACUUUCGUAAAAGCUGUGAUGACAUUGAGGUAUCAAAUUGGCAGUACACAAUGAUAUCAGAUCUCUCUUUUUGUGAUUUUGUAUUGCUGGUGCUUCAUUAUAAGCAUGUUCCAGAGUUAUAUUUUCUGAGAUGCGGCUCCUAUGUUUCCUACUCGUAUCCACAAUUUUAAAAUCAAGAUCUGAAAAUGAAGAUUUGUAGCCAAAUUUGUAUGGAUCUUCUUUUUUUUACUUGGAUACAUUUGAUGUCACCCCAUACAAUUUUUUGACCAUGUUCGUCUAUGUUGAAAAUUUUCACCAUUUUAGACAGUUUUUUCCAGUCAUAAAUCUGUUGGUAACCUAUUUCAUUGACUGUAAAAGGUUAACCAGUUUUUUGGCUGAUUUUAGUACCAUUGCCAUUUGAGCAGGUGUAAAUAUUGGGCCACUUCUCAGCAAUCUUCUCUUUUCUCUUUCUAUUAAGGAAUGACUGUUAUCAGCAUCAUUCUGAGUGUGUCCUGCUAUUAGAAAGUUGUGGGUUAUUAUAUUUAUGUGUAAAGCUUGCACUGCGUACAUAUACAUUGACAGAAUAAAUUUAUUUUUAAUCUGCCCACCACAAUUGUCGCUGUAAAAGAUAAUUUCUGUUUUUGGACCCACAUUUUCUAAUAACGAAAAAACACACGACCCUUUUCAUUGGCCCCUCUUUUGGUAAUACCUCCGUGCCAAGCGUAACAAAAACCAUCUUUAUUAAUUAUGACACAUUAAGUGAAAUUAAUGAAGUUUGAUUUGUAGUAGAAUGUAGAAACUUCUUGUGGCAAUGGAACGACAGCUCAUAACCGACCAAAAUCGAAGAUCAAUAUAUUGCCAUUAGAAUUUUUCGCUCUGUCAACAUCUCUUUUUUUCAUAACACUGGAUAGAUUUUUCUCAGUAAUAUGCAUGUCAUAACCAUCUUGAAGAUCAAUUUUGCCUCGGGUGAAGCAUUUUUGAACGCUUCACAUUUAGAACAUUGAUCUUUUUUAGGUUUGAAAAAAGCAAUGUUAUACCUCGUGUGUUCAUAAGUUUUGAGACGAAAUAAAAGUUGCAUAUCUUUUGUAAUAUUUAGUUUAUAAUUCUAAAAUUUAUAACAACAUAUUAAGUGAGUAAUAACAAACAAAAAACUUUCAUUAUUACUCAAAAUGUCCACCCUUAUUUUUUAUACAAGCCCUCAGACGAUUUGGCCAGUCAUCUAUAGCGGCACGAAUCUUUUCCAAUAGAAUUCGCUUUGCCUCUCGGACAAGAGCUCGCUUCAGUGACUCCAAGUUUCGUUGGGACUUUCGGCAGGCCCUGAGCUCUAAUUCAGUCCAUAAAGAAUAAUCGAACGAGUUGAGGUCGGGGCUGGAGGAGGGCCAUUCGUUAGCCGCAAUGAAGGCCGGCACAUUCUCCUUCAAACAAGCUUGUGGUGGUUUUUGUCUUAUGUGAUGGCGCUGAGUUUUGCUGGAAAACCCAAUCCUUGUUGUGAAAUAAAGUAUGAGACAAGGGUUUCACAACAGGCUCUAAAAUAUCACUUUGAUAAUUCUUGGCUUUCACCUUGACACCUUGUUGGCAGAAAUGCACCGGAGUGACACCUUCAUAUGAAACUCCCCACCAUACCAUCACACUAGCCGGAUGAUGAGUACGCAAGACAUUCCGUGCUGAAGGUGGGACGUCCUUGCUACCUUUGGCAUACACUUUAUUGUUUUGUCGGUUGAACUUUUCUUCGACAGUAAAGAUUUUCUCAUCAGUGUGCCUAGUGCGAGUUUUCAUCGAGUACGAAACGUUACUAUCGCGUUUGCGUCACAGCCGAAUUAGUAUCGA